CACUUUCCACUCUCCCCAUUUUCCUCAUCCUCUCCCUCUUUCACCUUUUCGCCCUUCACCCCCUGCUCACAGCAUUUUCCCUCACCCUUCUUUUCUGUCCCCUGCAACCUCCUCCGCCGCCUUUGAUCAGACUCAGUUAUCCAGGCACCCCAGCCCAACAACAGUUCGACCCUCGAUAGGAAGAAACUGGAGCACCUGGAGGAAACCCACACCAUCAUGGAGAGACGUACCAAAUCUCCUCAAAGACAUAUGCUGUGUACUUCUGGUAAUGAUGCACCAUCAAUAACUCACUCUGAGACGUAAAGGCGAGAUAUCGGCUUUUAAUGACUGGAAGAAGGAACCAGCAGUGAGUGACCACCAUACUACAUCCUGGAGACUGAGAGGCCGGGCUCAGGCCUCGAUCGCCUUUAUACAGGGGUCUGUGGGAGGAGCCACAGGAGCAGUCAGCAGGGGGCGUGUCCAGACAGGCACAUGU